AUGGCGAUCAAGAAGGGAGGCGCGGCGGGGCUGAAGCAGAUCCUGAAGCGGUGCUCGAGCCUGGGCCGGCGGCAGCAGCAGCACAACGGGGAGCAGCAGCAGCACUGGGAGGAGGAGGAGGAGGCGGCGCCGUCGGACGUGCCGCGGGGCCACUUCGCGGUGUACGUGGGCGAGUCGCGGCGGCGGUUCGUGGUGCCCAUCGCGGUGCUGGACCGGCCCGAGUUCCGCUCCCUGCUCCGCCGCGCCGAGGAGGAGUUCGGCUUCGGCGGCGCCGGGGACCUGCUCGUGCUCCCCUGCGAGGAGCUCGCCUUCCGUUCCCUCUGCUCCGCCUCCUCCCUCCCCUGCGCCGCCGCCCGCUGA
rnacentral:rRNA from 1 species